rnacentral:rRNA from 1 species
GACGAACGCUGGCGGCGUGCUUAACACAUGCAAGUCGAACGGAAAGGCCCUGCUUUUGUGGGGUGCUCGAGUGGCGAACGGGUGAGUAACACGUGAGUAACCUGCCCUUGACUUUGGGAUAACUUCAGGAAACUGGGGCUAAUACCGGAUAGGAGCUCCUGCUGCAUGGUGGGGGUUGGAAAGUUUCGGCGGUUGGGGAUGGACUCGCGGCUUAUCAGCUUGUUGGUGGGGUAGUGGCUUACCAAGGCUUUGACGGGUAGCCGGCCUGAGAGGGUGACCGUCCACAUUGGGACUGAGAUACGGCCCAGACUCCCACGGGAGGCAGCAGUGGGGAAUAUUGCACAAUGGGCGGAAGCCUGAUGCAGCAACGCCGCGUGCGGGAUGACGGCCUUCGGGUUGUAAACCGCUUUCGCCUGUGACGAAGCGUGAGUGACGGUAAUGGGUAAAGAAGCACCGGCUAACUACGUG